GACGAACGCUGGCGGCGUGCUUAACACAUGCAAGUCGAACGAAGAGCGAUGGAAGCUUGCUUCUAUCAAUCUUAGUGGCGAACGGGUGAGUAACGCGUAUUCAACCUGCCCUUCAGAGGGGGACAACAGCUGGAAACGACUGCUAAUACCGCAUACGAUCCAAUCUCGGCAUCGAGGAUGGAUGAAAGGUGGCCUCUAUUUAUAAGCUAUCACUGAAGGAGGGGAUUGCGUCUGAUUAGCUAGUUGGAGGGGUAACGGCCCACCAAGGCGAUGAUCAGUAGCCGGUCUGAGAGGAUGAACGGCCACAUUGGGACUGAGACACGGCCCAGACUCCUACGGGAGGCAGCAGUGGGGAAUCUUCCGCAAUGGACGAAAGUCUGACGGAGCAACGCCGCCUGAGUGAUGACGGCCUUCGGGUUGUAAAGCUCUGUUAAUCGGGACGAAAGGCCUUCUUGCGAAUAGUUAGAAGGAUUGACGGUACCGGAAUAGAAAGCCACGGCUAACUACGUGCCAGCAGCCGCGGUAAUACGUAGGUGGCAAGCGUUGUCCGGAAUUAUUGGGCGUAAAGCGCGCGCAGGCGGAUUGGUCAGUCUGUCUUAAAAGUUCGGGGCUUAACCCCGUGAUGGGAAGGAAACUGCCAAUCUAGAGUAUCGGAGAGGAAAGUGGAAUUCCUAGUGUAGCGGUGAAAUGCGUAGAUAUUAGGAAGAACACCAGUGGCGAAGGCGACUUUCUGGACGAAAACUGACGCUGAGGCGCGAAAGCCAGGGGAGCGAACGGGAUUAGAUACCCCGGUAGUCCUGGCCGUAA
rnacentral:rRNA from 1 species